rnacentral:rRNA from 1 species
GAUUUUCGCAAUGCCCGAAAGGGUGACGAAGCGACGCCGCGUGCGGGAAGAAGGCCUUCGGGUUGUAAACCGCGGUCGGGAGUUAAGAAAUGUAAGGAUGUUAAUAGCAUCUUUGCUUGACUAAGGCUCCGGAGGAAGCCACGGCUAACUCUGUGCCAGCAGCCGCGGUAAUACAGAGGCGGCAAGCGUUGUUCGGAAUUAUUGGGCGUAAAGAGCACGUAGGCGGCUAUGUAAGUCGGUUGUGAAAGCCUUCCGCUCAACGGGAGAACAGCAUCCGAUACUGCAUGGCUUGAGUGCGGGAGGGGAGAGUGGAACUUCUGGUGGAGCGGUGAAAUGCGUAGAUAUCAGAAGGAACGCCGGCGGCGAAAGCGGCUCUCUGGCCCAUAACUGACGCUGAGUGUGCGAAAGCUAGGGGAGCAAACGGGAUUAGAUACCCCGGUAGUCCUAGCCGUAAACGAUGGGCACUAAGUAGAGGGGUUUUAAUC